GGCCAAUGUGCAUACGUAAUGUGUUGGCAGCAGCAGCAGUCCGGCACGUUCGAUAGAAGAUCUUGAUCAUGGUAGUACCCUUGCUGUCUAUGGGAGGGUCAAAGAGCUCUCAGAAUGCAUCAAAAGUAUCUUAAUUUGUGUUCCGAAGAUGAACGAAGGUCUUACGGGUUUGGAACGACUUGAGGUCUUUGACAUUCAGAAAGUACAAAUCAAAGAAGCAAGAUGAAUGCUCUGAGUGACAGCUACAUGGAGUUUCAGCAUCAGUGGAGCUGCUUCCUACAGAGCUCAUGGGUUUUGUCUCAGCUGGAUUAGUUACACAAAGGCCUUCUUGGAUUUUACAGGGUUUUGCUGAAAAGUCAACCAUAAUGUGUCACUUAUCACAUUAACAAUAAGGACAUUGAUUCAGGUACCGCACCAGUUACCACCUUUGCUAAUCCAGUGGCCCUUUGCAAUCAGGACAUCUGGCCGUCCAUAGGGGUGGCUGAGGGCAUUCCUGACUGGAGCGGUGUACAGCUGACCUUUAUCUGCCUCAUUAGGGCUGGUGUUAUGUGUGUGGACAGAUGGCCUUGCUGGAGGGCUGCAGAUCCACACACCAGUGCCUUGUCAACCUCUUUACACGUGUAUCAGCUCGUAUUGCUUUGGAGAUAAGGUGCACGGUGUGCCUGUUAGGAUCGGUACGCCUCAUCAGUGUUCCUGUGACAACCGUACUGUUUUCCCUUACUCUCUGAUGAGGGUCAUCAGGGGGCUGGUGUACAUGUGAUAGCUUGUCUAUCUCUUACAUUUUUUUCCUCUUCUCUUCUCACCUCCAUGAAGUGUGAAUUGGACAGAUAACCACAACACCUUUCCUUUCAGGAGGCCUUAAACACUUCCCAAAAUAGUUUCCUACAGAGAUGCUGGCCCACCUGAAAGUGGUCUAUCUGUUUUUGUUGUUGUUGUUGUUUUUGUUGUUUUGUUUUUUUGUGACAACUUUGUCUAUUUUUUUUAUGUAUCUGUUAAUAGGGUUUUCAAACGAGGUCUGAA
ensembl:lncRNA